rnacentral:lncRNA from 1 species
AUUUGCAAAGACAAGAUACAAAUUAUAAAAUACCAUACACAAAUAGCCAAAUCUACAACCUAGACCAACACCUUUGGUAGUAACUAUCUCAGUCAUAGAAAUUAACUGCAGUCUUUUUCUUCAAGGCAAUAGAACCUCAACGUAAUAUUUCACUGAAGAGUGGAAGAACUAUACCGAAGAACCUUCAGGUGGUCACUCAUCCAUGAGACAACUACAUGCCAUAUAUCAUGGAUUAGUUUGAUGGAAUGAAAGAGAAGAGAAAAUUUUACACUUCUUUUUUUCACAUAAAAGAGCGCAAUUACAUAAAAACAUGACAAUAUAUAGAAAAUAAGACAAAAUACAUUAGCUGCGAAAAAUGUUUACCAAGUUCUUAACUAAACUCUGACUUCAUUUGUAUAGUUCCUAUUUACUCUCCUACAUUAAAUUCUAAGCUUUGUACCAUUUCUAAAAUUCUAUAAGAUAAAUGACAAGUUAGACCUCACAAGUCAAAAAUGUUUGCUUGCUUCAGGGAGUCCAUGUGAUAUAUAGUUCUAUACACAGAAGCAAAGGGAAAUAUAAUGAACCGAUAGACUACUAAUCUACUUUUGUUUUGGUAUCUGCAAAAUGUUGUUAUAUCAAAUCAUGGAGUGAGCAAAAUGUUGUAAUAUUUGAUUGUAUAGUGAGCAACACGUAC